UACGGAGGGUGCGAAGCGUUAAUCGGAAUUACUGGGCGUAAAGCGCACGCAGGUGGCUGAGUCAGUCGAUUGUGAAAGCCCUGGGCUUAACCUGGGAAUUGCAGUCGAUACUACUCAGCUAGAGUAUGGGAGAGGGCAGUGGAAUUCCCGGUGUAGCGGUGAAAUGCGUAGAUAUCGGGGAGGAACAUCAGUGGCGAAGGCGGCUGCCUGGGCCCAAUACUGACACUCAGGUGC
rnacentral:rRNA from 1 species